AGUGCAGUGAAGUCAGACCGGAAGGACUGGUGGAGCGCUUAGAAGUGAGAAUGCCGGUAUGAGUAGCGAAAGACGGGUGAGAAUCCCGUCCACCGAAUGCCUAAGGUUUCCUGAGGAAGGCUCGUCCGCUCAGGGUUAGUCAGGACCUAAGCCGAGGCCGACAGGCGUAGGCGAUGGACAACAGGUUGAUAUUCCUGUACCACCUCUUUAUCGUUUGAGCAAUGGAGGGAC
rnacentral:rRNA from 1 species